UAACCUGCCCAAGAGAUCGGGAUAACGCCUGGAAACAGAUGCUAAUACCGGAUAACAACAGAUGAUGCCUAUCAACUGUUUAAAAGAUGGUUCUGCUAUCACUCUUGGAUGGACCUGCGGUGCAUUAGCUAGUUGGUAGGGUAACGGCCUACCAAGGCGAUGAUGCAUAGCCGAGUUGAGAGACUGAUCGGCCACAUUGGGACUGAGACACGGCCCAAACUCCUACGGGAGGCAGCAGCA
rnacentral:rRNA from 1 species